CAAAUGGGGAGAGUCGGACCCUCUUCCGUAUGCAGUUUAUGGACAUUGAAUUAUUUCACACAAAGGACUGGUCUAUGUGAUAGGUGGAAAAACUGAGAGCAAGAAAUGCCUGAGGAGAGUAUGUGUUUAUGACCCCUCUAAGUUUGAAUGGAAGGAUCUGGCACCCAUGAAAACUGCCCGUUCGCUGUUCGGCACAGCUGUUCACAAAAACAAAAUCUAUGUGGUGACUGGAGUCAUUGAUAACGGCCUGACUAACAGUGUGGAGAUCUAUGACAUCGCCAGCAACACCUGGUCAGAGUUCGUGGAGUUUCCCCAGGAGAGAAGCUCUCUUAACCUGAUUGAACUGGGCGGCUGCUUGUACGCUGUGGGGGGGUUUGCUAUGAUGCCCAAUGAGACCACAGAAAAACUGGAGCCCACUGAAAUGAA